rnacentral:rRNA from 1 species
GUGCACGAGGGGACAGCGGGGGAGGUAUGAGGUGGGGGGCAAGCGUGGUUCGGAAUUAGUGGGCGUAAGGAGCGCGGAGGCGGCGGGUUGCGUCUGCUGUGAAAGCCCGGGGCUUAACCCCGGGCGGGCAGUGGAUACGGGCCGGCUGGAGGCAGGCAGGGGAGAAUGGAAUUCCCGGUGUAGCGGUGAAAUGCGCAGAUAUCGGGAGGAACACCGGUGGCGAAGGCGGUUCUCUGGGCCUGUUCUGACGCUGAGGAGCGAAAGCGUGGGGAGCGAACAGGAUUAGAUACUCCUGUAGUC